rnacentral:rRNA from 1 species
CGGACCAUCGUGGCCAAAGCAUACCGAGCCGGGUUUUACUGGCCACAUGCCAACGAGAUGGCAAAAGAAAUAGUGGACAAGCGUGAGGGUUGUCAGUUUUACUCCAACAUGUCCCAUAAACCUGCAUCAGCUCUGAAGACUAUUCCACUCGUCUGGCCUUUUGCUAUUUGGGGAUUGGACAUGGUUGGACCUCUGAGGACCGGCAGGAGCGGAUUUACCCAUGUGCUAGUAGCAGUCGACAAGUUUACCAAGUGGAUCAAAGCCAAGCCCAUUAAAAACCUUGAAGCAAGUACUGCUGUGAGUUUCAUCAGAGAAUUGAUAUUCAGAUAUGGCGUACCACACAACAUCAUCACUAACAACGGAUCGAACUUCGACUCUGAUGAAUUCAGAGCCUUUUGCGCUUCCCAAGGCACGAGGGUCAAUUACGAUUCGGUCGCCCAUCCUCAGUUGAAUGGGGAGGCUGAGCGAGCAAAUGGAUUGAUUCUCAAAGGACUGAAGCCCCGGUUGAUGCGUGACCUCAAGCACGCAGCAGGAGCUUGGGUCGAUGAACUC